rnacentral:rRNA from 1 species
GACGAACGCUGGCGGCGUGCUUAACACAUGCAAGUCGUACGGUAAGGCCCUUUCGGGGGUACACGAGUGGCGAACGGGUGAGUAACACGUGAGUAACCUGCCCACAACUUUGGGAUAACGCUAGGAAACUGGUGCUAAUACUGGAUAUGUGCUCCUGCUGCAUGGUGGGGGUUGGAAAGCUCCGGCGGUUGUGGAUGGACUCGCGGCCUAUCAGCUUGUUGGUGGGGUAGUGGCCUACCAAGGCGGCGACGGGUAGCCGGCCUGAGAGGGUGACCGGCCACAUUGGGACUGAGAUACGGCCCAGACUCCUACGGGAGGCAGCAGUGGGGAAUAUUGCACAAUGGGCGCAAGCCUGAUGCAGCAACGCCGCGUGCGGGAUGACGGCCUUCGGGUUGGAAACCGCUUUCAGCAGGGACGAAGCUUUUUGUGACGGUACCUGCAGGAGAAGCACCGGCUAACUACGUG